CAAUUUCAGAUGCAAGCAGUAAUCUCCACUGAAGUGGGAGUUCAAGCCAUAGCAACCUUGAGGCUGAGAUUGCAUUUGGGCCGUUGAAGCCAGCCAGCCCAGCUGAGAAGCUCUGAAAAUCCAGGGUGCCUGGGAUUCAAGGCCAAGAGAGGCUUUGGACUUGGAACUUGAGACUUCACGCUAUAGCAACUGAGCUAAAGGGCGGCAUCCCUAUCACAAGCCCUGAUUGCACCAAUGAUCCACAGUUUGUCCUCUUGGCUCUCAUACUUGACUUACUUCUUAGGGCUCUCAUCAACAGUAGCAACACUCCCUCAGCCACCUAAGGGGCUAGCUUGAGCCACAAGACUCGGGUACCAGCAGUGGACAACUUGAAAGCACUUUUAAAUCCAGAGGAAUUAAUAAUGUUUGCACCAACUCAGCCCUGCUUUUCUAACUAGAUAAUCUCCCACAUGACAAAUAAGUAUAAUCAAGCCAGUCAAAAUACCAUACUGGCCAUAUCUGAUAAUAUUUUCCUUGUGAUAUAAUUCCAUCCCAUGAUCUCGUUGCCAAGAAGCAGGAGGGAUGCUUCAUAUUCAGUCUUCGGAAGCCAUGAUGAGUUUAGGAUUGUGAAACAGGAAUGAAUAGGGAAUACAUUGCUGGAGUGGACGAAAGC